GAAGAGACAAGGAGGCUGCUUUCCUUGCUUGCCUUUGCUUCUUGCUGGUGAAUACAUCCACCCUGCUGUUGCUGCUAUCCUUUGCUUCUUUAGUCCUCCAACGUCUACUAACGACAAGUGGCUCUCCUGGAAUCCUCUAGGCCUUCUGUGCCAGUUUGGGACUGUGGGGGCAUCCAGCCUCACGGACUGAGCUGCUAUCUGGUUCCUAGUCUUUCCAGUGUGAAGACAGCCGUGGCUAAUCACUCAGCUCCUAUCAUAUGCUUGUUAAAGGCCAGACCCUGAACUAGCUCUUAAGGAGGCAGUCCUGUACAAAAUAGACUCAAUUUCUGCUCUCAUGAAGAUUGUAGUCUAAGGAGAAAGGAGAAACUGAACACUCCCCCGACUACUAUGAAUAAGUGGUUUUCAAGUAGAAGACAUAAGGAGUUUAAUGGCUCAGCAUAUGAGCCAGGUUUGUGAGUCGCCCACAAAACCACAGACUCAGGCAGUGAAAUUGACACUGUCUCCCAUCUCACCUGGAUCAGCACGUUGGAAACUGCCAGAAAGAUGAUCGACUCCACCAACUCUGUCCCCUGUUGAAACUAGUAGUCUCUUGUGAUGCCUUUGGUCUUUGCUGCACUCUGUAUGAAGUGACAGAUGUCAGCUGGGAACGUUAGUGAAUGACCCGGACUGUAAGUUUCCUGAAGAAGUGGCUGACAUAAAUCCAGGCCCAUCAGCUAAUUAUCUUCUAAAUUAAAUGACAGCUUUUGUCACACACCUAA